rnacentral:snRNA from 1 species
GGAUGUGAAGGCAAUCUGGCUGUGGCAUCUGUCAUCCCAUUGAUCACCAGGCUUAAUUCGGCCGAUCUUGCUAGCUAGGCAGGUGUCCCCUUCCUCCCGUACAGCUCCAUGGGCAUCCCUCCCAAAGCUAUACACCCAGUAGAAGAGAAUGACCUUCCCCAAAUAGAAGAGGACCCAUCUUAGGUCAAGGGUAUACGAGUAGAUGUGCUCCCUGAUAGAACCUCCAAACAAGCUCAAGAGUCUGGGGACCCCGCUUCCACAUAAAUGCCAAGUGGUCAGCAGGAGUUU